rnacentral:lncRNA from 1 species
CUGAAAUGUGCCUGACAGUGGAGGACAGGUCUUCCUCCUGGUGGGAGCCAGGCACCCUGGCACCCGAGAGGGGGUGCCGUGAGUCCUCCCCUUUGGCAAUGGCAUCAAUUAAACCAGAUGGGACUCCAUGUUUUCUGUGCUCCCACGGCCACUGCCCCUGCUGAAGGAACCAGGUGUGCAGAGGAGCAGGUGCUGCUGGGCACAGGGUGUGUUUUGAUGGUACCCAGGGCAGCCUGGAGCAGAGCUGGUGGUGUUCUGAUGACAAAUCCCACAGCUGAUAGGAGCCAUUGGGCCAUUGGCUGUGUGCUGUGUGCUAGGCACCAUGGAAGGGUUUUACACACAGGAAUUUCACUGAAUUCUCUCAAAGCACUACGGCGUAGGAAUCAUUCAUAUCUCCAUUCUAUGGAUGAGGAAGCCAAAGCCUAAACAGAUUAAGGGAAUUGACAGAGGCUCAAAGCUAGGGAGGCCAGACCAGCACUUGACUCAAAGCUGACGCUGCCCGUGGCCAAGGCCCAGCACAGGCCAGGCUCUCACCAGCUUCAAAAGCUGAGGCUCUAGAGCCAGAACAGGAAGUGUUGAUGUAAAGUGCUCAUUCCAUUCCUCUGUGUGUGUAUGUGUGUAGCUGUAGUCUUUACAGGCUGAAAUGAGCAGAGAGUGACCUACAACUAAAAGGACGCUUGAUCUGGUGGUGACACAACCCCGUAAGCAGAUCAUUUUGAGCCGGUGUGAAGAGCACAGUGAGUGUGGGCAACAUGGAAGCAAAGAGCAGGGGCCUCUGACCAGGUCUGGGAGGGAUGCCUGGGAAGUGGGGCCUUCCUCCAAAAAGCUAUGCCCAAGGUUGUGAGGCCCUGAAAGCAGUAACUGUGGCAUUUUCUUCACCAUCCAACAUGACACUAGGAUGCUAUUGGGUGGUCCAAUGUGUAUAUCAGAUGACUGGAUGGAAGUCAUUCAGACCGAAGGGGGGAUGUCCUCAGCCACCUGGAGGAGCAGGAAAGCACGCGGUGGACAUGAGAACCACUAGCCCCAGCCAGACCACGAUGGGUGUGAGAACCACUAGCCCCUCCUGAACCACGAUGGGUAUAAGAACCACUAAGCCCCUGCCGGACCACGAUGGGUGUGAGAACCACCAGCCUCUGCCAGACCACGAUGGGUGUGAGAACCUCUAGCCCCUACAGGACCACGAUGAUGCAGGCUGGGAGGGCUGGGCUGGUUUGGGGAGGGAGCACAAGGCCAGAGUGCACCUUGUGGAGGAGCUGUCUGUAAUUGAGAAGGAGCCACAGGAAAGAGAUCUGCAUUUGCAGGAAGCUCUCAUCUGACCCCAGGCUGGGGGCUGGGCCAGCUGAGAGCACUGGAUGAAGAGACUGAUGUUCAGGUGUUGGAUGGCAGGGGGUUAGAGUAUCAUCCAGAGGCUUCUCCUCUCCCUGCUGCUCUUCUUUCCCCCAUCUUUUUCCUUUCUCCUACACAGAUGAGUGGUCUCG